rnacentral:tRNA from 1 species
AGGUCAGUGGCUAUCUCGUCCGCCUGAAAAGCGGAAGGUCGACGGUUCGAUCCCGUCCCUGGCCA